rnacentral:ncRNA from 1 species
GAAAGCCGUAUACUCUGAGAGGAGUACGUACGGUUUGGAGGGAAAUCACUGAUUGACCCUAC